rnacentral:rRNA from 1 species
UACGAAGGGGGCUAGCGUUGCUCGGAAUUACUGGGUGUAAAGGGUGCGCAGGCGGACUGGUUAGUCUGGGGUGAAAUCUCAUCGCUUAACGGUGAAACUGCCUUAGAUACUGCCAGUCUUGAAUCAGCGAGAGGUUCGUGGAAUUCCGAGUGUAGCAGUGAAAUGUGUAGAUAUUCGGAAGAACACCAGUGGCGAAGGCAGCGAACUGGCGCUCGAUUGACGCUCAGGCACGAAAGCAUGGGGAUCAAACAGG